rnacentral:rRNA from 1 species
GAUGAACGCUGGCGGCGUGCCUAAUACAUCCAAGUCGAGCGAACAGACGAGGAGCUUGCUCCUCUGACGUUAGCGGCGGACGGGUGAGUAGCACGUGGAUAACCUACCUAUAAGACUGGGAUAACUUCGGGAAACCGGAGCUAAUACCGGAUAAUAUAUUGAACCGCAUGGUUCAAUAGUGAAAGACGGUUUUGCUGUCACUUAUAGAUGGAUCCGCGCCGCAUUAGCUAGUUGGUAAGGUAACGGCUUACCAAGGCAACGAUGCGUAGCCGACCUGAGAGGGUGAUCGGCCACACUGGAACUGAGACACGGUCCAGACUCCUACGGGAGGCAGCAGUAGGGAAUCUUCCGCAAUGGGCGAAAGCCUGACGGAGCAACGCCGCGUGAGUGAUGAAGGUCUUCGGAUCGUAAAACUCUGUUAUUAGGGAAGAACAAAUGUGUAAGUAACUAUGCACGUCUUGACGGUACCUAAUCAGAAAGCCACGGCUAACUACGUG